GCUAAGGUAGAAAAGUGGUUAAUUCGGCAGAUUUAGGAUCUGUAAUCGGGAGUUCAAAUCUCUUUCUUAGUU
rnacentral:tRNA from 1 species